GAGGUGCUUGCACCUUAUCUUAGCGGCGGACGGGUGAGUAAUGCUUAGGAAUCUGCCUAUUAGUGGGGGACAACAUUCCGAAAGGGAUGCUAAUACCGCAUACGUCCUACGGGAGAAAGCAGGGGAUCUUCGGACCUUGCGCUAAUAGAUGAGCCUAAGUCGGAUUAGCUAGUUGGUGGGGUAAAGGCCUACCAAGGCGACGAUCUGUAGCGGGUCUGAGAGGAUGAUCCGCCACACUGGGACUGAGACACGGCCCAGACUCCUGCGGGAGGCAGCAGUGGGGAAUAUUGGACAAUGGGGGGAACCCUGAUCCAGCCAUGCCGCGUGUGUGAAGAAGGCCUUAUGGUUGUAAAGCACUUUAAGCGAGGAGGAGGCUACUGAGACUAAUACUCUUGGAUAGUGGACGUUACUCGCAGAAUAAGCACCGGCUAACUCUGUGCCAGCAGCCGCGGUAAUACAGAGGGUGCGAGCGUUAAUCGGAUUUACUGGGCGUAAAGCGUGCGUAGGCGGCUUUUUAAGUCGGAUGUGAAAUCCCCGAGCUUAACUUGGGAAUUGCAUUCGAUACUGGGAAGCUAGAGUAUGGGAGAGGAUGGUAGAAUUCCAGGUGUAGCGGUGAAAUGCGUAGAGAUCUGGAGGAAUACCGAUGGCGAAGGCAGCCAUCUGGCCUAAUACUGACGCUGAGGUACGAAAGCAUGGGGAGCAAACAGGAUUAGAUACCCUGGUAGUCCAUGCCGUAAACGAUGUCUACUAGCCGUUGGGGCCUUUGAGGCUUUAGUGGCGCAGCUAACGCGAUAAGUAGACCGCCUGGGGAGUACGGUCGCAAGACUAAAACUCAAAUGAAUUGACGGGGGCCCGCACAAGCGGUGGAGCAUGUGGUUUAAUUCGAUGCAACGCG
rnacentral:rRNA from 1 species